rnacentral:rRNA from 1 species
UACGUAGGGAGCAAGCGUUGUCCGGAAUCAUUGGGCGUAAAGCGCGUGUAGGCGGCCAGGUAGGUCCGCUGUGAAAACCCGAGGCUCAACCUCGGGACGUCGGCGGAAACCAUCUGGCUAGAGUCCGGAAGAGGAGAGUGGAAUUCCCGGUGUAGCGGUGAAAUGCGCAGAUAUCGGGAAGAACACCCGUGGCGAAGGCGGCUCUCUGGGACGGUACUGACGCUGAGACGCGAAAGCGUGGGGAGCGAACAGG